rnacentral:rRNA from 1 species
ACUCUAAGGAGACUGCCGGUGCAAACCGGAGGAAGGUGGGGAUGACGUCAAGUCAUCAUGGCCCUUACGGCCUGGGCUACACACGUGCUACAAUGGUCGGUACAAAGGGUUGCCAAGCCGCGAGGUGGAGCUAAUCCCAUAAAACCGAUCGUAGUCCGGAUCGCAGUCUGCAACUCGACUGCGUGAAGUCGGAAUCGCUAGUAAUCGUGAAUCAGAAUGUCACGGUGAAUACGUUCCCGGGCCUU